rnacentral:rRNA from 1 species
UACAGAGGUCCCAAGCGUUGUUCGGAUUCAUUGGGCGUAAAGGGCGCGUAGGCGGCCAUGCGUGUCUUCCGUGAAAUCCCUCGGCUUAACUGAGGACGUGCGGAAGAAACUGCAAGGCUCGAGUCCGGGAGAGGGGGGUGGAAUUCCCAGUGUAGCGGUGAAAUGCGUAGAUAUUGGGAGGAACACCGGUGGCGAAGGCGGCCCCCUGGACCGGUACUGGACGCUGAGGCGCGAAAAGCGGUGGGUAGCAAACGGG